UUACUUCCUACUGCUGUUUCCAAACUUGGUGCAUUAGAGUUGAAGUAGAACUCCCAGCCCUGAACAAGAUCCGAAAGUCAUUAUGUUUGGGCAACGUGUUUGGUGAUAUGUUACAAUGUGGACAUUUCUGCUGUGGUUAACAUCCUGUAAAAGAGAAUACAAAUCACUAAAAAGCUCAGAAACCUGUUUUUAAACAAGCUGCCCUGAUAUUAAUAAGUGACAUGGAAAAGUGACUGCCUUGAACAUGCUCCUAUGAAAAGUGGCGUAAGAAGGUGAGGGAUGCCUGAGGAAGAAGGGCCUUCACCAUUAAUAAUUAUCUGCGAGGAACAGGCAGUGCCUGGGAGAUUCUCAUGCUGAUGGAGUGAGUGACAGUGGGGUGCGAACUGUAGUUACUCGACUCAGCUCAGAAUGGCUGCGGGGAACGUAUUCAGACAUACCCAAGGAAGUCUGCCCAGGGUGAAACAAACACCGUUGAGGUUUAAAUCAGAAACCACGCGAUUUUUGUUGCUAUAUUUUAUUAGAGAGGAAGGAGAGGCUGUUUCUACAGGUGUCAUAGAAAAAUCAAUACUGAGCCAUGGAUUAUUGGAUCCCAUAGAACCAUGGAGAGUCGGCAGUGAAAUUCUUCCAAAGGCAGACGGUGUUCCUAGGUUUGGAAGUGUAAAUCCCAGGAGAAGUGAGCUGAAGAACAUUUUAUGCAUCACUCAUCCUAUUAUGAGCCCUGUGCUGUUCUCUCUCUCUACAAGACUGGCUGAAACAAUGACAAAAAUUGUUUAUAAUCUGUAUUCGGUGGAUCAUCUAGUUAGUACCCUGACUCUGAUUACUCACAAAGACAAGAUUCUAUAA
rnacentral:lncRNA from 1 species